UGCCAGACUCCUACGGAGGCAGCAGUGGGGAAUAUUGGGCAAUGGGCGCAAGCCUUACCCAGCAAUACCGCGUGAGUGAAGAAGGUCUUCGGAUUGUAAAGCUCUUUGAUCAGGGACGAACAGAUGACGGUACCUGAAGAACAAGCCCCGGCUAACUACGUGCCAGCAGCCGCGGUAAAACGUAGGGGGCGAGCGUUAUCCGGAUUUAUUGGGUUUAAAGGGUGCGUAGGCGGUCCGGAAAGUCAGCGGUAAAAGCCCGGGGCUCACCCCCGGCGAGCCAUUGAAACUGUCGGACUAGAGACGGCGAGAAGUACGCGGAAUGCGCGGUGUAGCGGUGAAAUGCAUAGAUAUCGCGCAGAACUCCGAUUGCGAAGGCAGCGUACCGGCGCCGGACUGACGCUGAGGCACGAAAGCGUGGGUAUCGAACAGGAUUAGAUACCCGAGUA
rnacentral:rRNA from 1 species